GAUGAACGCUGACAGAAUGCUUAACACAUGCAAGUCGAAUUGUGGCGGACGGGUGAGUAACGCGUAAAGAACUUGCCUCACAGUUAGGGACAACAUUUGGAAACGAAUGCUAAAACCUGAUACUGUGAGAGAGCUUUGCGUCCCAUUAGCUAGUUGGAGAGGUAACGGCUCACACAGGCGAUGAUGGGUAGCCGGCCGGAGAGGGUGAUCGGCCACAAGGGGACUGAGGCACGGCCCUUACUCCUACGGGAUGCAGCAGUGGUGAAUAUUGGACAAUGGACCAAAGUCUGAUCCAGCAAUUCUGUGUGCACGAUGAAGUUUUCGGAAUGUAAAGUGCUUUCAGUUGGGAAGCGGUACCAACAGAAGAAGUGACGGCUAAAUACGUGCCAGCAGCCGCGGUAAUUC
rnacentral:rRNA from 1 species